GUGCUCACUUCGCACCACAUAUACUAAACUUAGAACGAUACAGAGAAGAUUAGCAUGGCACUAUGCGAGAGGAUGACACGCAAAUACGUGAAGCGUUCUAUAAAAAA
ensembl:snRNA U6 U6 spliceosomal RNA